rnacentral:rRNA from 1 species
UGGGGAAUAUUGCACAAUGGGGGAAACCCUGAUGCAGCGACGCCGCGUGAACGAAGAAGGUAUUCGUAUCGUAAAGUUCUGUCCUAUGGGAAGAUAAUGACAGUACCAUAGAAGAAAGCUCCGGCUAAAUACGUGCCAGCAGCCGCGGUAAUACGUAUGGAGCGAGCGUUGUCCGGAAUUAUUGGGCGUAAAGGGUACGCAGGCGGUUUAAUAAGUCGAAUGUUAAAGAUCGGGGCUCAACCCCGUAAAGCAUUGGAAACUGAUAAACUUGAGUAGUGGAGAGGAAAGUGGAAUUCCUAGUGUAGUGGUGAAAUACGUAGAUAUUAGGAGGAAUACCCGUAGCGAAGGCGACUUUCUGGACACAAACUGACGCUGAGGUACGAAAGCGUGGGGAGCAAACAGG